ACAAUAAAAACAAUAAGAUCACAGACCCAGAAAAUUUAAAACCCAUAAACAUCAGUCAGUUAUCUCAAAAAAAAAAAAAAAAAAAAAAUCAAAUUCAGGUCAACUCAAAAUUAAACGCAAAUAAAUCCAAAAUAAACCCCUCACAUUACACCAAAACAUCACAAGCUGAUCAAUUUUUUUCUACUUUCACACCACAUGGCCACACUUUCAACUCAAACUUUAUCUCUCUCAGCCCAAACUUUAUCUCUCUAAGGUCUUGGGAUCUUGGUUUGAUGGGUUUGAUAUGGGUUAGAAAGAGAGAAGAUGAGUCAGUUUGAUCCGAGUUAGAGGGAGAUGAUGAGAUCAGUUGCUGUCACGGCAUGGCUGGCGGCGACAUGUGGGUUCAAGAUCAACCAAAUGGGGAGUGAUUUAAGAACUGUGGUGGUCGGGUUCUAGGUUUCAAAGUGGUUUUGGCGAUUGAAGAAGUGUGGGUUUUUAUUUGGUCUUUCUGUCCUUCUCUUUCUUCGACACACUGUCUCUCUGAAAGCUCUUUGUGGGGGUGUCAAUGGUGGAUCUAAAGUCAACAUUUCUGAAGGUAUACUCGGUUCUAAAAUCAGAGCUCCUUGAAGACUCUGCUUUUGAGUGGACAGAUGAUUCUUGUCAAUGGGUCGAGCUGGUUCGUUUCCUUUCCGUCUCAUAUUCCUAUAUUGUUUCUCAUUUGCUUUCUCGUCAUUCAAGCUCCCAUAUGUGGCAUUUUUUUAAUGCCAAAUAAAAUUUAUUAUUAUUUUAAUGACCACAUCAGCAUUUAGUA